GUAAUGCGUAUUGUGUGAAAUUAAUAUGAAAGACUUACAAAAAAAACUACAUGGUCACUGGUCAUUAAAUUUUGCUUGCAAUAAAGCUGGGCUGCCAAAGUAAGGGCCAUACUACCAUAAUUGUUCCAUUAUUCACUUAGUGUUACUUAAUUUUGUAACCAAGUCUUCCAUCUUUGGUUUAACCCCUUGAUUCUUGGUUUUAUUAGAAUGACGGGUAAAAAAAAGUUAAACCCAAGGAAGCCAAGUUAGAAAGGAAUUUUGGUAGAUGCAGAGAAGUGGCAUCAUCUUCAGUCUGAAAAUGUAAAUGUAUCUUAUUAAACCAUGAUAUAGAUAAAUGAAAUUUAUCUUGAAAAAUUAAUCAAACAAUUAAUACCGGUUCAUUUGGAGAUCCACGAAUGAGCUAAAUGUUUAAACUUAAUAAGUGAGUACUGGAAAUAACCACAUGGGGAACAUGAGCACCUAUUGGAUCCUGAAAGAUUUUCUAGUAUAAUUUAUAGUUUAAAGCUUUCUUCUUAAUUCCUUUUGUUAAGAACUGAAGCCUCUUAAACAGAUGCACCCAUCUCAAAGGGAAACUAUCGAAGAGGGAUUACUGCCAGUGCACAUAUCUGAAAUACCCAGAGAGUUAACUCCAUUUUCUUUGGCAACGAAAAGAAACGUUUCACUCUAGUCGUCAACUGCCGACCCUUUUGAUUUUCUAUCUCCGCCGCCGUCGUCUUUCUUUCAAUCAAUUCUAUUAACGCCAAUUUUUUUCGCUCCCCACGCAUUGACCCUCACGUUCCACCACCCAUGUAAAAAGUGGAAGCAGCAAUUCUAGCGUGAACGCAGAUUUCUCCAACUUCUUGACCCAAUAUGCCACUACCCAUCUUUUUUUAUUUACUGAUCAAAUAAAUUUGAUCGAAAUCCACCCCGGUACGUAAUUGCAACGAUUUUUCUUACACAAAAUUCGUUGUGGCUCACGAAAAAACCGUUUUGUCACUUGGAUAUCAACUACCGAGCGACAUCAGUUUACUUAUACCCAAGCAGAAAAAAACGCGAGAGAGCGCUGUUGUCCGCCAAAUCCUGCUGACAUCUAGGGGAGAAAUCAGCAACUCCUUUGGCAUAUCAUUCACUGUCGUCUUCCUUACAUGGAGGAUGGUGGUCAAAAUGGACGAUCCAGCAUCAAAAUUGUCUACCGAUUCUGUUUCUUGAGCGCUAUCAGGCCGCCUGAUAUGCUAAGUUGGCAGGUUUUUUAGAAUUUUCUGGCUUGCUGUUUAGCUACAACCCGAUAGGAAAAAAAAAGUAGUAGCUCCAUUUAAAAGGAAAAAAAGGCAGAGCGACUAAUAUCGCGGCGAUUCAUUAGACUGUUCUGUGGAAAACGUUUAUAUGAGUCAACUCUCAUUGUAUGUUUUGAGGGUUCUAUUGAGCUGAGAAAAUUUUUUCGGAAACUCAAAGAAUAAACGAACCUGAUCCUCCCCUGACAGUCCAUGCAUGCUAUAUUGGAAAAAUGUUAACUGAUAUUCCACAAACUUAGUUGCAUCCAACGCCAUGUGCAUUUAAAGGAGUUUUUACCUGGACCUAAAUUCAAGUGGGUUCCAAGACUGCCAGGAGAGGGUAUUGCAGUAAGGCUGUGCCGAUUCGAUCACAGCUCAAAUACAAUGAAGAUUGGUCGGUUCAUAACCCAGCUACUAGUAUUUCUUCUGGCCAUCUUUUACUGCUUGAAUUUGUUUAUUCAUCAGGUGGAAGGAGACUGCAUUACUGAAGAAUUCUUGCUACACUCGCGGCCUUUGCAAAAAUGAAGCAUAACUGUGGUGUGUUCCCCCUCAGAAAAGGAUAAGCCUAGGCCUAGCAUCAUCAGUUGAUUUAUUGGUUGAAAUUCUGCAAAGAUUUCACACAUUCUACAGCUUAGGUGCUGUAGGUGACACUUAAAGUUGAAUUUAGGCCUGGUGAUGGCACAAACUUAUGGAGAUUCGCAUGUUAAAGGUUAGGCAUCCACCGAUGUUCGAAGUUCCGAAAAUCGAUUGGCCCACGACCACAUCAAGAUUUGUCAGCGUUCCUUAUAAAACCAUGAAAGUAUACCCAGUAAUAGAAACGGCUGCAAAACAACUUGAUCCAGAAAUGGCGCUCACCCAUCGCCAGUAUGCUCUGGUAUUUGACAAUUUGGUUUGCCAGUAGUUCAAUAUAAUACUUAAUUUGCAUUCAAGAGGUGUCGAAUUGAAUGCUCACGUAAUUGAUAUUGUCUUAAUAAAUUGGCACUGGUAAACGUGCCAGAUACCUGAGCAUACCGGCGAUUUGGCCUUAGCCUCUGUUUAGGCGAACAAUUUUUUAAUUAUUGUAAUUUAUUUCGAUUUAGCACUCAUCUUGUGACACUUUACAUCGAGUACCAAAUGGUAUGUACAGUUGAACUGCAUCAAACUGUUACUUGAUCGAAUGGCUAGCAGCAAAAUUGAACUUUCGUACUCCUGUGUGCUAAUUAAUCAAACCAUUGCUGAUAAAUAUGGCAGGAAUGUUUGGUUUUGCCAACUUAUAAUGAAAAAGGUAUCUUGCAAGGUUCGGAUCUUGCAAGGCUUGGCAAAGUCUUCCUACUUAACAAUGGACCGAAGGCUAGACAACACCAGGAGAACAAAACCCAAUUGUUUGCUUUUGUUUGUCUAUUUCAACCAAUGGUUUGAUUAUUGAUCCUUAUAAGCGUUUUUCGUCGUAGUGAGUGUGAUGACUCUUUUUAGUUGGAUGUCGCAACGGAAUGUAAAGGACGCUUCGAGCCCAUCUACAAUAGAUACAGAAUGAAACAACAAACCCAAUGUAGACAAAGAAGAAACGCUGAAUGAAACCGACCAUCAACUUGCUCGAAGAUUCGGCCGCAAGAAGAGGAAUUUCAAUAGUUUUUAGGCAUGACACGUCGAUGGGAGAACAGAUAUUGGAUUUGACCUCUGGUGUUUAUAAGAUUCUUGGAGAGCAAGCCUGGUCGUAUUAUUGGCGAUCCUUUGAAGUUAAAUGCGAUGUUGGAAACUGGCCGAUAUGCGUAUCCGUUUCUUUCAACAUUUGGCUAUUCGUUCGUCGGUUCACAAUAUAUAAAAGAAAAGAAAUGCCGAUUCAAGACAUCGAAAACGCUUUCUGCAUCAACUGGAUAUUAUUCAUUCCUCUUCAAGAAAGGAAGUUCUCACACAUCGGCGAUGAGCACAGCUUUAAUGGACUUGUUUGAGUUUGGCAAUCUGCGUCACUGGCGGUACUGGACUUGGAUUCUUGACGUUUUUGGUUGAACAGAUUUAUUCCAACUACAAAAAGCACAGACAUUUCUAGAUUAGUUAAAAGUGAGAAGGGUGCUGUCUGCCUUCCUCGGUAGAUUACACUUCUUGAUAUCGUGGUUUUGGCGAUUUUCAGCAUUAAAUUUACUCAUACUUCAGCGCUAUUCAAGAUACGCUAAUGAGAGAAAAACAAUAAGUGUCGUUUAGUACAUGGGUCAGGAAUGUAAUCGGAAUUUCGAUUCACCUUGGUGAUGGACUUCCAUUACAGCAGAACAAUUACAGCUAGUACUUGCAGCAGUUACAACACAUGAACAAAGUUGAAGUUUCCGUGAAAAAUGCACCAGCAGCCACAAAGUAGUGGGUUCACAAGGGCUGGAAGAUGUUUUGAUUUUGCCCUAGAUCUAAGGAAAUUGAUUGUCAAAAGCAAUCCCAGAUAUUGAUCUGCAUUGCAUCUACUGCCGUUGUAUUUUCACAUUUGUCAAAGCGUCUUCGCUGCAUCAAGGUUGGUUGCGCCGAUGAUUCUCAUUCAUGGUAAGACUGAAUGAUGGAUUUACUCGAUUACCGUUCUUCUUUAGACAAUGUGUUUAUUCGAUGUAACGUGUCAUUUCGAUGGUGCCGAUGAUUCAUGUUAAUGGUAAAACUAACGCUUGUUAGCUGAUUACCAUUCGUCAUUAGGCAAUGUGUUGUUUCUCACUCGUCAUUUAUUUCUCAAAAUCGCUUUUGGGCAGCAUGUCGCAUGGAAAGCUUUUACAGCGAAAAUAGAUAAUCCGCUGUUUUCUAUGUGCUAUUUUCAGCGUGUUUCAUACUUCUUACAUUCAACCGUUUGAUUGUGGGGACUGGCGCAAAAAACUAAUGUCGUUCUUUUCUUUUCUUGUCAUGUUUGUCGUUAAAUGGGUAUUAGCGCAAAGGGCACACAGGGAUACGCAAUACCGAAUCGUUAUUUUUUAUUUGAAAUUUACUGUUUCGCGAUUUUUAAUCAUAUUAUAUGGCCACCAUUGGAUUCCCUAGUAAUACGUUUCGUUCUUUAACCUUGUAA